rnacentral:misc_RNA from 1 species
GAUGAAGAACGUAGCGAAAUGCGAUAAGUAAUGUGAAUUGCAGAAUUCAGUGAAUCAUCGAAUCUUUGAACGCACAUUGCGCCCCCUGGUAUUCCGGGGGGCAUGCCUGUCCGAGCGUCAUUACAACCCUCAAGCUCAGCUUGGUAUUGGGCCCCGCCGCUCCGGCGGGCCCUAAAGUCAGUGGCGGUGCCGUCCGGCUCCGAGCGUAGUAAUUCUUCUCGCUCUGGAGGUCCGGUCGUGUGCUCGCCAGCAACCCCCAAUUUUUUUCAGGUUGACCACGGAUCAGGUAGGGAUACCCGCUGAACUUAAGCAUAUCAAUAAGCGGAGGA